GCUAAUACUGCAUAUCUCUACGGAGUAAACGGNUGAUCUCGGACCUCGCGCCAUUGGAGCGGCCCGUGUCCGAUUAGUUUGACGGCGGGGUAACAGCCCACCGUGGCUACAAUCGGUAGCUGGUCUGAGAGGAUGAUCAGCCACACCGGGACUGAGACACGGCCCGGACUCCUACGGGAGGCAGCAGUGGGGAAUAUUGGACAAUGGGGGCAACCCUGAUCCAGCGAUGCCGCGUGUGUGAAGAAGGCCUUCGGGUUGUAAAGCACUUUCGCGGGGGAAGAAACUUCGCGCUCUAACAUAGCGCGGCACUGACGGUACCCCGAGAAGAAGCGCCGGCUAACUCCGUGCCAGCAGCCGCGGUAAUACGGAGGGCGCAAGCGUUAAUCGGAAUGACUGGGCGUAAAGCGUGCGCAGGCGGCCGCGGAAGUCGGAUGUGAAAGCCCCGGGCUCAACCCGGGAACUGCGUUCGAAACUCCGCGGCUCGAGUCCGGCAGAGGAAGGUGGAAUUCCGCGUGUAGCGGUGAAAUGCGUAGAGAUGCGGAAGAACACUAAUGGCGAAGGCAUCCUUCUGGGCCGGCACUGACGCUGAGGCACGAAAGCGUGGGUAGCAAACAGGAUUAGAUACCCUGGUAGUC
rnacentral:rRNA from 1 species